rnacentral:rRNA from 1 species
GUGUCAGCCGCCGCGGUAAGACGGAGGGCGCAAGCGUUGUUCGGAAUUACUGGGCGUAAAGCGCGGGCAGGUGGUCCUUUAAGUCCUUUGUGAAAUCCCGGGGCUCAACUCCGGAUGUGCAGAGGAUACUGGAGGACUAGAGACCGGUAGAGGCGAGUGGAAUUCCUGGUGUAGCGGUGGAAUGCGUAGAUAUCAGGAAGAACACCUGUGGCGAAGGCGGCUCGCUGGGCCGGUUCUGACACUCAUCCGCGAAAGCGUGGGGAGCAAACAGGAUUAGAAACCCGCGUAGUCC